CGACGUGCAAGUUCUACAAUUUAUCCGUCCAGAUGGCAGAAGGAGAUCAGUCCAACCGACGCAUCUAAAAAGCAACAUAUGCAGAGCCAUUCGCCCGAGAUAUAAACAAGCUGGUGGCCGCCCAUCUCUGCAUGUAUUUUAUUUGGGAUAGCCAAAUCCUGGCGCGCCCAGCCGCUGCUCGUGAACCCCGCCUCCAUCAGCUCCACUUCACCAGAGCCGUCAGUCCACAGGAGUAGGGGUAGCGGAUCCCCUAUAGCGGCCAAAUCCCGGUGCGCCAAGCCGCUGCUCGUGAACCACGCCUCCAUCAGCUCCACUACACCGGAGCCGUCAGUCCACAGGAGUAGGGGUAGCAGGGACGCAUUCAUGGCUUCAUUCAACAAGUGGAAUGUGGGCAGAUGUUGAUCAACAAGUCUGCGGUAUUAAGGUUAGCUGCUAGUACAUAUU